rnacentral:lncRNA from 13 species
GUCGCUGACCAGACUGGAGCUGUGGGGUGGGGAUGCUCCCAGGGCUGGCACUGCCUGCAGAGAAUGGCCCACACCUUGUAGGUUCCUGCCCCGGCCCCACCGCCCCCUCGAGUUUCUUUUCUUUCUUUUGUUUUUGAGAUGGGGUCUUGUUCUGUCGUCCAGGCUGGAGUGCAGGGGCUCAGUCAUGGCUCGCCCUCCUGGGUUCAAGCAAUCCUCCUGCCUCCCUGCCUCAGCCUGGGACCUGAGUAGCUGGGACCGUGGGCGUGUGCCACCACUCCUGGCUAAUUUUUUAAUUUUUUUUUUUUGUAGAGACAGGGGUCUCCUUAUGUUGCCCAGGCUGGUUUUGAACUCCUGGGCUCAAGCAAUCCUCCCAACUGGGCCUCCGAAAGUGCUGGGAUUACAGGUGUGAGCCACCACACCCAGCUGUUCCCUGUUUUUCAGGAGAGGGGCCCAUCUGUUUGUGUAAGGUCACUCCUUCCUCUGUGUGUUCUCCGGGUCUCUUCAGCCUGUGGUCCAGUGUCCAGCACCACCAUGCUGACUGGGUGACUGGAGACAGGGAUGAUGGAAGGUUGGGGAGGGACUGGGCAGGGGAAUCUGGGGCCAUCUCUGGAGGGUGUCCUGCUGUUCCUGUUGGCCAGCAGCCACACUCACGGCCUUCCCUUGCCCCCCCUUCACAGUGCAGGGGUGGCCUCAGCUCCUGCCUGCUUCCCCUGCAGAUGGCGAGGGGACCGACCUGUUUGCCGUGGCUGUGCAUGAGUUUGGCCAUGCUCUGGGCCUGGGCCACUCCUCAGCCCCCAACUCCAUCAUGAGGCCCUUCUACCAGGGCCCAGUGGGUGACCCAGACAAGUACCGCCUGUCUCAGGAUGACCGCGACGGCCUGCAGCAGCUCUAUGGGAAGGCACCCCAAACCCCAUAUGACAAGCCCACAAGGAAACCCCUGGCUCCUCCCCAGCCCCCAGCCGCGCCCCCAGACAGGUGAGUCCCCCACCACCUGUGACCUUGAGUGCUCUGCUGCCCAGCCUCAGUGCCCUCUGAAAUGGGGACGGUGGGGUCCCUGCCCUUGGAGGAAACAAGCCCCCAGUGUCUGCUCACCUCUCCUUUCCUCCCCAGCCCAUCCUCCCCCAUCCCUGAUCGAUGUGAGGGCAAUUUUGACGCCAUCGCCAACAUCCGAGGAGAGACUUUCUUCUUCAAAGGUUAGUCAUUUCUCCUGUCCCCUGACCUCACGUAGGCUUGACCUCCUACCCACUUCAAAUGACACACUGGGGCUUAUCUUACCCAGGAAGUGAAACGUUUUUUUCUUCUCCUUCUUUGGGACAGAGUCUUGCUUUGUUGCCUGGGCUGAAGUGUAGUGGUGCGACCAUGGCUCACUGCAGCCCCCGCAUACUGGGCUCAAGCGAUCCUCCCACCUCGGCCUCCCUAAUAGCUGGGACCACAGGCACAGGCCAACACGCCUUGCUAGUAAUUAAUUUUUUAUUUUGUAGACAUGGGGGGGUCUCACUGUGUUGCCCAGGCUGGUCUCAAACUCCUGGCUCGAGUGAUUCUCCCAUCAGCCUCCCAAUGUGCUAGGAUUACAGGUCUGAGCCACUAGGCCCCCCGUGUGACUUUUACUGCUAAAAAGGGAAGAUCCCCAGGCAGGCCAGGAGGGGCUGGUCGCCCUAGAUCCACUGCACCCUCCAUUUCCAGACGGGACCCCUCCCACAGAGCCCCACACCGUGGGGGAGGAGACCUCCUGCUAUUUCAUGCCUUUCUGCCGACCCUUUCGUCCCCUGCAGGCCCCUGGUUCUGGCGUCUCCAGCCCUCGGGACAGCUGGUUUCCCCGCGGCCCGCGCGGCUGCACCGCUUUUGGGAGGGUCUGCCCGCCCAGGUGAAGGUAGUGCAGGCCGCCUACGCCC